rnacentral:lncRNA from 10 species
GGUCUUCACCAUGAUAACUGUGGAGUAAGAAUUAUAAGCAGGUCACAGAUUAGGGACUUGAGAUUGACAGUUUGGCUUCCCUGUUCUGGGUGGCAAAGCCUGUGGAGUACUCACCUACCUGCUGCAUGAAGGCAGCAUGGAGGGACUGUGGUGGAUUAUCUGCAAAGAUGGCCAAAAUUCUCUCAUCCCUGCAGGCACAUACAAGAACUGAAGCUCAGCUCUUCACCCUACAGAAAGCCUGAAUUUUGUAAAUGUUCUGCUUAGAAUGAGGAAGAAAGAUGAAGAAUGAGGAGGAAGAAGGAAGGAACGAGAGAGAGGUAAAGCCAACAAGCAGAACAGACCUACAUUUGCAGCAUCUCCAAGUUUCUGCAACAGCAUUAUGUUGUUGUUAUGUUUUGUUUUAAUAAAAGCACAUACCAUUUU